GGAUUUUAUUUUUCCCAAUAGAGUUCUAGAAACAAAUUCUUGUUAUUACGGAACUCUCUUCUUCACUCGAUCUUCUUAAUAUCGAUCUCCACUGCAAUCUAUCAUGGUAUCGGAGCUUAGUGAUUCAUCGACGACGUCAGAUUCUGGGCAUGGAUCGAAUGCAGGAAAUCAUGAGCGAAGGAGAAGGCACAUGCACAAAGGGCGGGAGCAAGAAUGGGAGUUUCCCUAUCCAUCAAAUCUGAACAUAGGUAACUUUGUAUCAGUUAGUUUAUCUCCAGACAAUUUUCUUCACUGGAGGACUCAAAUGUUGAGCCUAAUUGAAGGCCAGGGCUUGGUUGAGUUUAUUGAUGGCUCAAUCGAGGCUCUCCCCAAAUUGAUGAAUGUGCCUGAAAGGGAUACUGGAGUUCUUACAGAAACUCUUAAUCUUAGAUUUAAAUAUUGGAGGAGGAUAGAUCGAUUGGUAAAAGGCUGGAUAACUAGUCGAUUAUCUCCAUCUGCAUUGAGUCUAGUCACUGGACUAGACACUGCUAAAUUAACUUAGGAUGCAUUACAAAAUGCAUAUGCGCAUGACUCAGUUGAGAGAGAAUUGUUGCUAAGGCCCAGACUUCAAAUGAUAAAAAAGAAUCAUCAUUAACUAUUCAGGAGUAUAUUCAGAAAUUUAAAAAUGUUUUUGAUGAAUUAACCCUAAUUGGAAAAAUAUUAGGAGAUGUAGAAAAAACUCAUUGUGUGCUCAAUGGAUUAGGAGAAGAAUAUGGAGCUUUCAAAACAGUCAUGUUUAAACCUCCAGUACCCGUUUAUUUGUCAAUGAUCCCACAAUUGAUUAGUUUUGACAUGAGGAUCGGAGUGCCUUAUCUACUGAGAGAGCAGCUGCUGAAUUGUACUAUGUGGACAAAAAGAAAGGAAAAUAUUUUGAUUAAAAAAUAAAAAAAAAGUGAAUUUAAUUCAAAAGGAAAAUUGUUUAGACAGCACAAUAGUAAUGAUAAUUGGAGAAAUGGAAAAGGAAAUCAGGAACUAAAAUAAUGUGUCAAAUCUGUAAAGGUAUGGGCCAUGAGGCAAUUAUUUGCCCUAGCAGAUUUGAUCAUGCAGUAUAUAAAAGAGUGAUCAGAAGAUUACUGGAUCAAAAGAGUAAUCUGAAGAUGAUUAAAUCAAACACUUACUGAACUGGAUCUGUAUGCAAUUAAACAGAACAUAAGGUUGUGAUAUUUUGACUAAGAGAAGAAACUGUAAGGUCAAAGAGGCAAAAUUCACCACUUAAAGGUAGUCGGUAAAUAUGAAGAAGUACGAGGGCGAGAGUGCAACUUUAAUCACUUAAAGACACUCGAGAAUUACAAGAGAGUACGAGGACUCAACUGCAAUUCUACCCAUUAAAUAAGAGGAAUCGGGCUAACGGAUCCGGACUGCUACCCAAUUAAUGAUCCAGUUAAAUAGUUAGUUUAGUUAAUGUUGUAUUAGCUAUUAAUUAGUUAAUGUAAAGAUGACUAUUAAUACAGAAGUGUAAGUGUGGUUUAAUUAAUUCAAUUACAGAGUUAAUCAUACAGUUUUUUUUUUUAAUCAUACAGUUGACACUAAUCUACUUACUACAGUGUUAACAGAAGGGGAAUUAGGUAGUUCGAAUAACCCUAAUUCUUCCCCUCUUUAGUACGAUUGCUCCCCGUCCGGCGAGCCAAGUCCGCCGGAUUCUGCACAUACUGUCUACAGAAGCGCACCUCUCGUUUAACAAUAUAAGCACAUGACCUUAAUUAUGAGAUGCACAAUCUUCAUAUAUAUGACAAAUGAUCCUACAACAAAUGAGUGGCCAACAAACACUGGUUUUGCUGCACACAUGACCUACAAUGAAGGUAAAUUAAAUUUUUUUAAUACUUAUGAAGGAAAUCAGUAUGUUAGAGUUGGUAAUGGAAACAAACUGAAAAUAUCACACGAAGAAGAUGC
rnacentral:lncRNA from 1 species